rnacentral:rRNA from 1 species
GUGCGUAACGCGUGGGAACCUGCCUUUAGGUUCGGAAUAACAGUUAGAAAUGACUGCUAAUACCGGAUAAUGUCUUCGGACCAAAGAUUUAUUGCCUUUAGAUGGGCCCGCGUUGGAUUAGAUAGUUGGUGGGGUAAUGGCCUACCAAGUCGACGAUCCAUAGCUGGUCUGAGAGGAUGAUCAGCCACACUGGGACUGAGACACGGCCCAGACUCCUACGGGAGGCAGCAGUGGGGAAUAUUGGACAAUGGGCGAAAGCCUGAUCCAGCAAUGCCGCGUGAGUGAUGAAGGCCUUAGGGUUGUAAAGCUCUUUUACCAGGGAUGAUAAUGACAGUACCUGGAGAAUAAGCUCCGGCUAACUCCGUGCCAGCAGCCGCGGUAAUACGGAGGGAGCUAGCGUUGUUCGGAAUUACUGGGCGUAAAGCGCACGUAGGCGGCUUUUCAAGUCAGGGGUGAAAUCCCGGGGCUCAACCCCGGAACUGCCCUUGAAACUGGAUGGCU